UACGUAGGGGGCAAGCGUUGUCCGGAAUCAUUGGGCGUAAAGCGCGCGUAGGUGGCCCGGUAAGUCCGCUGUAAAAGUCCAGGGCUCAACCCUGGAAAGCCGGUGGAUACUGUCGGGCUAGAGUCCGGAAGAGGCGAGUGGAAUUCCUGGUGUAGCGGUGAAAUGCGCAGAUAUCAGGAGGAACACCAGCGGCGAAGGCGGCGCUCUGGGCUGGAACUGACGCUGAGGCGCGAAAGCCAGGGGAGCAAACGGGG
rnacentral:rRNA from 1 species